UGUCGGCGANUCGGGUUGUUUGGGAAUGCANCCCCAAUCGGGCGGUAAAUUCCGACCAAGGCUAAAUACUGGCGAGAGACCGAUAGCGAACAAGUACCGCGAGGGAAAGAUGAAAAGGACUUUGAAAAGAGAGUCAAAGAGUGCUUGAAAUUGUCGGGAGGGAAGCGGAUGGGGGCCGGCGAUGUGUCCCGGUCGGAUGUGGAACGGUGAGAGCCGGUCCGCCGAUCGACUCGGGACAUUGACCGACGCGGAUUNCGAUGGUGGCCCAAGCCCGGGCUGUUGAUAUGCUCGUGGAGACGUCAUCAUCUCGAUUGUGGAUGGCAGCGCGCGCCCUUGGCGUGCCUCGGCACCUGCGCGCUCCUGGCGUCGGCCUGUGGCUCCCCAUUCG
rnacentral:rRNA from 1 species